rnacentral:rRNA from 1 species
UACGUAGGGUGCGAGCGUUUGUCCGGAAUUAUUGGGCGUAAAGAGCUCGUAGGCGGUGUGUCACGUCGGCCGUGAAAACCUGGGGCUUAACUCUGGGCGUGCGGUCGAUACGGGCAUCACUAGAGUUCGGCAGGGGAGACUGGAAUUCCUGGUGUAGCGGUGAAAUGCGCAGAUAUCAGGAGGAACACCGGUGGCGAAGGCGGGUCUCUGGGCCGAUACUGACGCUGAGGAGCGAAAGCAUGGGUAGCGAACAGG